AAAAGUUUAUUUCUUGCUCCUGCAAAAUUCCCUGCGGUUCCAGCAACUCUCCAGGAAGCUGUCCUCCAUGCAGUGAGUCACUGAUCCAGCUGCUUCAGUCUUUUGGCCCUACCAUUUCAACACAUGGCCUUUAAACUCUUCACCAAAGGGAAGGAGGGAAGCUGGUGAUUCUCACUGAGACUCUCUGGACUCAGCUUGGAAGGCACAUACUAUUUUACAUAUCAUCUAGCACAACUAGCCUCACGAUUCUGCUGACUUCAAGGCAGUGAAAUAUUAUACCCUCCCAUGUGCCCAGAAAGGAAAAGAUGACUGCAUAUUGGGGAUAAUGCAGUAAGAAGGCCCUUACCAGACCCUGAUACCUCAACGUUGGAUUUCCCAGUCUCCAGAACGGUAAGAAAUAAAUUUCUAUUGUUCAUAAAUUACUCAGUCUGUGAUAUUCUGUUAUAACAAUGCUAAACAAAUGAAGA
rnacentral:lncRNA from 13 species